GUGAAAUUGAACUCGCUGUGAAGAUGCAGUGUACCCGCGGCAAGACGGAAAGACCCCGUGAACCUUUACUAUAGCUUGACACUGAACAUUGAGCCUUGAUGUGUAGGAUAGGUGGGAGGCUUUGAAGCCUGGACGCCAGUCUGCGUGGAGCCAACCUUGAAAUACCACCCUUUAAUGUUUGAUGUUCUAACGUUGGCCCCUGACCGGGGUUGCGGACAGUGUCUGGUGGGUAGUUUGACUGGGGCGGUCUCCUCCCAAAGCGUAACGGAGGAGCACGAAGGUUAGCUAAUCCUGGUCGGACAUCAGGAGGUUAGUGCAAUGGCAUAAGCUAGCUUGACUGCGAGCGUGACGGCGCGAGCAGGUGCGAAAGCAGGUCAUAGUGAUCCGGUGGUUCUGAAUGGAAGGGCCAUCGCUCAACGGAUAAAAGGUACUCCGGGGAUAACAGGCUGAUACCGCCCAAGAGUUCAUAUCGACGGCGGUGUUUGGCACCUCGAUGUCGGCUCAUCACAUCCUGGGGCUGAAGUAGGUCCCAAGGGUAUGGCUGUUCGCCAUUUAAAGUGGUACGCGAGCUGGGUUUAGAACGUCGUGAGACAGUUCGGUCCCUAUCUGCCGUGGGCGCUGGAGAAUUGAGGGGGGCUGCUCCUAGUACGAGAGGACCGGAGUGGACGCAUCACUGGUGUUCGGGUUGUCAUGCCAAUGGCACUGCCCGGUAGCUAAAUGCGGAAGAGAUAAGUGCUGAAAGCAUCUAAGCACGAAACUUGCCCCG
rnacentral:rRNA from 1 species